ensembl:miRNA microRNA 17
CAAAGUGCUUACAGUGCAGGUAGUACUAUGGAAUACCUACUGCAGUGGAGGCACUUACAGCA